CAAAGGAUCCCUAGUAACGGCGAGUGAAGAGGGAAGAGCCCAAGAUUGAAAGCUGGCGCCUUCGGCGUCCGCAUUGUAAUCUCAAGAAGUGUUUUCCGCUUCGGACCAUGCCUAAGUCCCUUGGAAAAGGGCAUCAUAGAGGGUGAUAAUCCCGUACAUGGCAUGGAGCGCCCGAAGCUUUGUGAUACGCUUUCUAAGAGUCGAGUUGUUUGGGAAUGCAGCUCAAAAUGGGUGGUAAAUGCCAUCUAAGGCUAAAUAUUGGGGAGAGACCGAUAGCGAACAAGUACAGUGAUGGAAAGAUGAAAAGAACUUUGAAAAGAGAGUUAAACAGUACGUGAAAUUGCCAAAAGGGAAGGGUAGGAGGUCAGAGAUGCGUCGCAGGAUUCAGCCUUGCUUUUGCUUGGUGUUUUUCCUGCGUUGCAGGCCAACGUCGGUUUUGGGCACUGGAGAAGGGUAGGAGGAACGUGGCACCUCUCGGGGUGUGUUAUAGCCUCCUACUGGAUACAGCGACCGAGACCGAGGAACGCAGCGUACUCGUAAGAGCGGGCCUUUUGGCACCUUUACGCUUAGGGCGUUGGCAUAAUGGCCCUCUACCACCCGUCUUGAACCACGGACCAA
rnacentral:rRNA from 1 species